GCCAGUGUUGCUCAAUGGUUAGAGCGUCAGUCUGUGAACUGAAGGGCCACAGGCU
rnacentral:tRNA from 1 species